CCUACGCCACAAAGUCUUUUCACAUGUAAAUAAAUUAUUUUCAUAAAUCUAUUUCAAAAUAAUUUUAAACAAUUUUAAAUCAAACGGUCAUUUUUCUUAUUUGCCAAAAAAAACAACAACAUCAAACAGUUAUUUUCUUUUCUUAUUUUAAACAGAUCGAUUGUUUUCAAUGGUCGGUGCCUGACAGCAUCUAUAAAAUCUAUCACCAUGUUUGCCAAUAAGAAAGCUUCAUAGAACAGGAAAACAACAAUGUCUUAUAGAAAUACUUCCAGGCCAUAUUUUCCAAUUUCUGUUGUAAUGUGGUUUAAUGCAAAAAAGAUCCAGGGACACAGAUGUCAGAAUGAAUAAGAAAACACUAAAUUCUUCAAUAAUAUAUUGUAAAAUGGACAGCAAGCACAUUUGAUAGACUAGUGUACUAAUAGAUUUUCUUGUGUAUUUUCUAUGUUCUGGAAACUUCAACAUCCUAUCAAAAAUACUUAAAUUAAAGUCUUAAGUUUAAUUAAAUGGUUUUUUUUUAAAUAUUAUUUGCAAGGCUGCAUGAACAUUGCACCUAUCGUUUUCGUAUAUUUCUUUUCCGCCAUGCAUAAGUUUAAUGUUUACUGUGACUUCUAUAAUGCUUAAAAAAUGAUGCAAUUGUAUUAUCAAUCUAAAAAUAUUAAUCGUGAACAACAACAAAAAUAAAUUAUAUAUUAAACGA